GCAUAUCAAUAAGCGGAGGAAAAGAAACCAACAGGGAUUGCCCUAGUAACGGCGAGUGAAGCGGCAACAGCUCAAAUUUGAAAUCUGGCUCUUUUAGAGUCCGAGUUGUAAUUUGCAGAGGGCGCUUUGGCUUUGGCAGCGGUCCAAGUUCCUUGGAACAGGACGUCACAGAGGGUGAGAAUCCCGUACGUGGUCGCUAGCUAUUGCCGUGUAAAGCCCCUUCGACGAGUCGAGUUGUUUGGGAAUGCAGCUCUAAAUGGGAGGUAAAUUUCUUCUAAAGCUAAAUAUUGGCCAGAGACCGAUAGCGCACAAGUAGAGUGAUCGAAAGAUGAAAAGCACUUUGGAAAGAGAGUCAAACAGCACGUGAAAUUGUUGAAAGGGAAGCGCUUGCAGCCAGACUUGCUUGCAGUUGCUCAUCCGGGCUUUUGCCCGGUGCACUCUUCUGCAGGCAGGCCAGCAUCAGUUUGGGCGGUGGGAUAAAGGUCUCUGACACGUUCCUUCCUUCGGGUUGGCCAUAUAGGGGAGACGUCAUACCACCAGCCUGGACUGAGGUCCGCGCAUCUGCUAGGAUGCUGGCGUAAUGGCUGUAAGCGGCCCGUCUUGAAACACGGACCAAGGAGUCUAACAUCUAUGCGAGUGUUUGGGUGUCAAGCCCGAGCGCGUAAUGAAAGUGAACGGAGGUGGGAACCCGCAAGGGUGCACCAUCGACCGAUCCUGAAGUUUACGGAAGGAUUUGAGUAAGAGCAUGGCUGUUGGGACCCGAAAGAUGGUGAACUAUGCUUGAAUAGGGUGAAGCCAGAGGAAACUCUGGUGGAGGCUCGCAGCGGUUCUGACGUGCWAAWCKAUCSUCAAAUYUGGGCAYAHRGBSRAAAGACUAAUCGAACUAUCUAGUAGCUGGUUCCUGCCGAA
rnacentral:rRNA from 1 species